rnacentral:misc_RNA from 1 species
UUUCCGUAGGUGAACCUGCGGAAGGAUCAUUAUUGGAUUCUCAAACCUGCAAGGGCUGAUGCGGACAUCACGUCCAGCACGCCUGCGCAACAUCUUCACACCCUUGUGCAUCUCUUGACGGUCCGGACGCUUGCGAAAGCUCGAGUCCGGACUGACACUUUACACCCCGAUGAAUUAAACCCAUCGAACAAAACUUUAUAAAACUAUAAACAACCAUUAGCAACGGAUCUCUAGGCAUCCCACUCGAUGAAGAACGCAGC